GUAACGCUGGCGGCAUGCUUAACACAUGCGUUUAAACGGGUUUAAGUUUAUUACCCUUAAACUAGUAGCGGACGGGUGAGUAACGCGUAAGAACCUACCUUUAGGUAAGGAAUAACUAUUGGAAACGAUAGAUAAUACCUUAUAAGCUUAUAGUAAAAGAUAAAAUCGCCUAAGGAUGGGCUUGCGUCUGAUUAGCUUGUUGGUGAUUUAAGAGAUUCACCAAGGCAACGAUCAGUAGUUGGUCUAAGAGGAUGAUCAACCACACUGGGACUGAGACACGGCCCAGACCUCUACGGAGGGCAGCAGUGAGGAAUUUUCCGCAAUGGGCGAAAGCCUGACGGAGCAAUGCCGCGUGGAGGAUGAAAGCUUGUGAGUCGUAAACUCCUUUUCUUAGUGAAGAAAUAAGACGGUAUCUAAGGAAUAAGCAUCGGCUAACUCCGUGCCAGCAGCCGCGGUAAUACGGAGGAUGCAAGCGUUAUUCGGAAUUAUUGGGCGUAAAGCGUCUGUACGUGGUAUCUAUAAAGUCUACUGUUAAAUAUUAAGGCUUAACCUUAAAAAAAGC
rnacentral:rRNA from 1 species